AAUUUGGAGUUGCUGAACUAUUUGCUCACACAGUCUCUCACAGAACAACUGACUAACCUGUUGCAAAUGAACCUCAUCAGUUAGGAGAUGUUACCCCUUUUUUUUUUUAAUUUUCAGUGUUUUGGUAUUUAGGUCUCGCUUAUUUGACAGCUGUUGUUGGUAUCAAAUUCAAAAUGAGCUCAUAUUUUUUAUACAAAACAACAAUUUUCAGAUUCAACGUUUUAUAAGUUGUAUUUACACUAUUUUAAAUUAAAUCAAAGACUCAAAUGGACAUUCUGUUUUUAUCAACAUUAUGUGGAGAUGAGGUUGUCAAAAAUGUUUUGAACAUGUCUGAGCAGAAUUCUAAGAAUAAGAGAAAAAAUCAGAUCUUAAGGUUGGUAGUUCAGUCAUUUUCAUUUAAAGGUGCUGCAGUGAUCUGACUGACAGCCUACCCUGGAGCCUCUGUUUUUCAUUUCGAUGCAUUUUCUGCUAUAGAAACCUCUUCUCUCCUUAUUUCCCAUCAUCAUUCCCAUCACUCAUCUGUAUAGCUGGCAUUGACAGGCUGCAGCAGGCGCUUACAGCACAUUAGGUAGUUAAAGUCAUUGGGAACAUUUUGUGCAGAGAAAUAUGGCCUCAAAAUGGUACCAUUUGCUGCCAUGUUGAAAGUGCCUGUCAAAUUGCCCUGCCUCUUUGCUGCUGCGGGCUUUUAUGACUGAUGGAGAUGUCAAGAUAUUCAAUUUGAUUUUUUUAGUGUGUUUACACACUGUUUGCCACAUACUGACAUGAUGGAUCUAGACAAGCCAUUAUCUGUGGUUUUAUGUCAUUAAAAUGUCGUCUACUAACAAAUUUACCUUAUUAAAAAGAAUUAAAGUACUAAAAGGAUAACAAAACCAUAUAUCACACAAAAUACAAACUCUAAUUUUAAAAAUGAACAAAUCCCUCUAUACCAGCUUGUUUUGAUGUUUAUUCUGCUGUGAUUUGUGCAUGACUUUGAUGCAACAUCUGCAGUUUUGAUCCCUGCUGUUUUGAAGUUGACAGGCAGAGGGCGCCAUUGCCCCAUGCAAAUGUGUGUGGUGUGGUUUGUUUUACAGUAUGUACAGUAUUUGCAGCAUUUGGAGCUCUGCAGUAGGGGGUACAGUGUAUGAAAUGCUUUGCAGAAUCUUGUUUCCUGCUCAAUAAGCCACAUCAUUACCUGUUUAUACCUCCAUAGGCCAUAUUCUUAGCGAUAUUUGCACCCCUUCAUGGGUUAUAAUGUGAGUUGGUGUUUGAUUAAAAUCAAACUAGCAUCUGAGUUCUGACUGAUGCAUGAAUUAGAUGGAAAGAAAAUUCUUAAAAAUACAUCUUGGGGAUGUGGAAACACGGCUUUAAAGGCUCUGCAUAGCCCAGUUUGUGCUUUUAUUGUUUGCAUAUAAACCUUGUGCAUAUUUUACUUUCUUUUUCUUAUGGUUUGCUGCAGCAGCGGUCUAAAACUUGAUGCAACAUCAUGGAAAUUUUCCUCCCCCUAAUCUGAUUUAAAUGAUUAACUUUGUGGUUCUUUGGUCUACAUCCAGCACGAUCAUUUGACCAACAUGAAAUACACUUUUGCUUUCGUUUGUGUGCUUCUACUCUCUUCUAAGCCCUCACAUAUAUUUAUAUUUACACCGCAGGAGUUUGUAAGUUGCUCCUCUUUAGGUUUUUCCCCUUGGCUUCACGGUGACCCUGUGAGUUCCCGUUCAAACAAAGCUCUUCCUUAUUCCCUGUAAAUGAGAAAAUGUUGUGCUUCUCUCCCUCUGAUCUCAUCUGAGCUCCUUGCACGACAUCCUUCUGACAUUUUACAUCCCCCUGUGUGUUUAUGUAAGAGUUUGUUUGGCUGCCAUCCCACUGUACACAUCGUCUGUGCCACACGUUAAACAUUUGUGUGUGUGGGCCCGGCAUUUUCAGAUGUACUCUAAUUGUUUGUGAUGCUGGUGAGUGUGGUGUUGGUGUGUGUGUACGUGUGUUGGUGUGGGCUGAACCUCCUCUGAGCUGCUGUGUUUCUGUGCUGAGAGAUGAAGUGUGGGAGGGAAUCGUCUCCAACUCCAACUUAUAUAAGACACGCUAUAUGAUGCAUUAUGUAUGAACACUGAAAAUCUCCCAUCCCUUAAACCUCUGAUGAUGAGACGUGGAAGACGUGGGAGCUGAGGGGCAGAGCUGCACAAACACAGGAGGACUUUAAGGAUAACAGGCUCUCACGAAACAGCAGAGGGGGGUCAGUUUAUGUUUCAGUUUGUAUUUUUUUUCUGUAAAGUACAAGCUUUCGCUCUCCUACUUUGCCCUGCUUCCCAAAAUAAAUCUGCCCGCUAAACAAAGGUGCUCCUCUCCAAAGGAGCCUCUAUGGAGCUCGACCUCUGACCUCUAACCUCUGCCCUCUCAACCCCCGACUCUUCAGCUUCUGUUUGCAGCAAAACAAGCUUCAAAACAGCUCUGCUCUUCUACUUACAGGAAACUUUUUCAAGUAAAAAAGCAUUUCCUGCCCACCUCAAGUGACUUAAACGCACCCACGGCCUCAUAAUUACACAGAGGUAGCUAUAAACCAAACACUAUUGCCCCCACUGCAGACCACAGACCAAGAAACACACACUAAAACACACUCCUCAUACACAACACCUGUUUCCAAUCCUUCUUCUGCUCUGUAUUUUUAAUGACACACUCUUACACCAAACCCCACAUGUCCGUUUGUCUGUCUCUGCCCCUGAGACUUCAACUUAGGAGGCCUUGAGAUUGUGUUCCUCAUGUGUUUUUGCAGUAUCGUUUUUUGGCCAGUGAUGGCAGCAGCGAGCACACCUACUCUCCUCUCUGUGUGAGGAGGAGAGCCUGCAGCUUCUCAUUUUGAUAUACAGACUGAAAAUGAUUUUAAAAAAAAACAGAGACUUUCCUCUCCAGCAGCAGUGAAACAUCUUGUUUUUUGCAGUUUUGCUGUCAGUUUUACUUGGUGGACUCUUCUUCUAUGACCUGAAAGACUUACAGCUCCAACACCCUGCUCUACCAUCGCUCUGUAAUGUAGUACUUAGAAAAUAUAUACGCUGCAAAAAUCGAAUCUUGGCUUUUUGUAUUAUUUCAUGUAAAAAGGUAUUUUUAGGCUUCAUUUAAGCCGUGUUCACUAAAUGGGUCAAGAAAAAUGUCUUAUUUAAAGAUAUACUAAAAUCAAGAGCUGAAGCACUGGUAAUGAGUAAAAACUAAAUGUUCUGAGAGGAUAAGAAAAAAAAAACGCCCAUAUGAUGUUUUAUUCUUUCAGUCUAAGUUUAUUUGAGUAUUUCAUAAAUGUAAAAAAAACAACCUCACAGCAGCACAUCUCCUUAUUUUCCAGGUGUGAUUAAUUGUUGUCUCACCUGGAUUUAAACCAUAAAAAUUGAACAGACAACCUGUAUUUCUGAUUAUGUUUGAAUUGAAUCAUAUUGGUAUUUAUGGGACAAGAAAGGUCCAGGAAAAUUUUAAUAAAUUUCCGUUACACUCAUGUAGGAUGCGACAUGUAUGUGGACUUCACAUAAGCCUGGAUGUUUUGGCCUUUGAUUAUACAGGUACUACACCGCAAAGACUCAAAACUCGGUAAAGGUUUAACUUGAUCUCACCAGAUUUCAUGUUUGCCAUGUUUAUUUCACAAGUGAAGACAAAUCUUUUUAGAUAGAUUUUGAAGCUGAAAGUACAACCUGAGUUGCUUGAACCUAAUAAAAUUUACAACCACCUCAAGUCUUAUUUUUGCCUGUAGUAUCCUCAGUAUUCAAAAGCUUGCCUUACUUGUCAAAUAGAUGUAGCUAAUAUUAAUCUGAUAAGAUAUUAGAUGUUAGACAAAGUAACUUGGUUAGUUCCAUCGAUCAAUCAAACCUUAUUUAUAAAGCACUUUUCAUACAUAUAUUGUAGCACAAGGUGCUGUUCAUUCAAGCAGGAUAUUAACAACAAUGAAAUGAAAUAAAUACAAAUACAAAUACCAAACCCCACCCACCCUCCCAACCCCCA